GAUGAACGCUGACAGAAUGCUUAACACAUGCAAGUCGAUUCGAUUUACCUUCGGGUAUUGAGGAUGGCGGACGGGUGAGUAACGCGUAAGGAACUUGCCUCUUGGUCUGGGACAACUGUUGGAAACGACAGCUAAUACCGGAUAUUAUGAGAUUCUCGCAUGGGAAACUUAUGAAAGCUAUAUGCGCCAAGAGAGAGCCUUGCGUUCCAUUAGCUAGUUGGUGGGGUAACGGCCCACCAAGGCGACGAUGGAUAGCCGGCCUGAGAGGGUGAACGGCCACAAGGGGACUGAGACACGGCCCUUACUCCUACGGGAGGCAGCAGUGGGGAAUAUUGGACAAUGGGCCACAAGCCUGAUCCAGCAAUUCUGUGUGCACGAUGAAGGUCUUCGGAUUGUAAAGUGCUUUCAGUUGGGAAGAAGAAAGUGACGGUACCAACAGAAGAAGCGACGGCUAAAUACGUGCCAGCAGCCGCGGUAAUACGUAUGUCGCAAGCGUUAUCCGGAUUUAUUGGGCGUAAAGCGCGUCUAGGCGGAAAAAUAAGUCUGAUGUUAAAAUGCGGGGCUCAACUCCGUAUUGCGUUGGAAACUGUUUUUCUAGAGUACUGGAGAGNUGGGCGGAACUACNAGUGUAGAGGUGAAAUUCGUAGAUAUUUGUAGGAAUGCCGAUGGAGAAGUCAGCUCACUGGACAGAUACUGACGCUAAAGCGCGAAAGCNUGGGGAGCAAACAGGA
rnacentral:rRNA from 1 species